UAUUAGUAUUAAUAAAAAUUUAGUAGUAAGUGUUAUUCAUGAAACUAAAAUUAAUUGGCGGCUUUUUAAAUUUUUUAGAGGAAUUUAUUCUAUAAAGGAUUAAACACCAAAAUCUUACUUUUAUUUGUUUUAACAGUUUGUAUAUCUCUAUUUAAAUAUAUUUAAGGAUAUAUUGUUUUUCUUUUUAGUAAAAUUUUAGGUAAAGAUGCAGCUUAUAUAAAAGAUUGAAAUAAAUUAUAUAAAUUUUUAUUUAACAAUAUUUUAUUGUAAUUAUUAUGUGUAUAGUAAAAUUUAAAAGUAAAAGUAUUAUAAAUAGAAUUACUUUGAAUAAUAGUUUAUUUGUGUACAUAUUGCCCGUCACUCUCUUUUAGAG
rnacentral:rRNA from 1 species